rnacentral:sRNA from 1 species
GAACAAUAUAGACAUUCUUGCCUCUAUAAUGCAUGGAGUCUAGUGGGAGGAUAAAUAUUAAGCAAAUAUCGGCAUAAAGAAGUGUAUACAUAUAAAUUAUGGUAACAAGCUAGGAAGGAUAUCUAAACAGUACAAUGAGAAAUUAUAAUUGGGAGAGAGAUUUAGAUUAGGGGACAGAGAGAGCUUCUAUGAGAGAGUGGAAUAAGCCGAGACCUAAGCUGACAUCUAAAGAGUGAAUAGGCAUAGCCAGGUAAAGAAGAGGGAGAAGAGCAUUGCAGGCAGGCAGAAACUGCAAAGACCCUGAGGUGGCCCAGGGGCACGCCGGCAGCCCGGAAAGCAGAUGACAGUGGUGGAGGAAGAACUGAAAAGAUUGCAGAAUCCUCUAGAACAAGUUAAUGAUGGAAAAUAUUCAUUUGAAAACAUUCAGCGAGCAUGGCGAGAGUACCUGCAGCGGCAGGAGCACCUGGGGAAGAGGAGCCCAUCCCCACCCUCCCUCUCCUCAGAGAAGCUGAGCAGCUCUGUCAGCAUGAAUACCUUCUCUGACAGCAGC